UAGUGCAAGAAAUCUCCCCAAAUGAAAAUUUUUCGGGACUUUCUGUUAGGGAAUUGAGUGUAUUGCAAAAGCCCUGGUCAGGAAGGACCCACUAUCGAAUGGAAAAAAUCAAAACCCCAAAAAUGAAAAAUGUCCCUUUCAGAAACUCUAACUAUGGAAACACCAUUAAUUACUUUACAGCAAAGUAAUGGUCCCCAGCAUCUAGAAAGUUACUGCUUCGCCUGCCUCACUUUAAUCUGCAAGUUGCUUUCCAGCAAAUGCACACAGACCUGCGGAAAGCUUGCGGCUCACAACUGCCCUCAGUAUCCGAAGCGGAGCCCCUUCGCUGGAAUCACGUCCCAUCGCCGCGGGCCUGGGGACAGGAAAUUGGCUAUGGGACUGCGCGGCCUCGCACAGGGAGCUCCCUGCAUCUGUGCGCGGCUGCUUUGGGGGGUGUUAAGCAACGGUGUACCCGCAAUUUAGGACUGAAGGGCGUCCGGCGGGGGGAGCGGGACAUGCACGACUCCCAUUCCGAGCUACGUAGUGCCAUGUACCAUGCCCAUGUCACUGCAGUGAAGGACGGUCAGAAAACUUCCUAGUCGGAAGGAAAUGGCUCUUCAAUGAAGUUAUCGAACGUUAAUGUUGAAUUCUGACGGUACACGUCCUGGAGGACCUGCGGAGCAGGAGAGAGCCUGGACCAUGCCUUCUCCCAGGAAGGGGUUAACUCUCGCCGACGGGACUGCUUGGGCAUGGCUCUAACGCGACUGUAACACCUUCCCUGCCCCCCCCUGAAGGCAGAACCCGAAUGUAUGGGAGCCACGGGGAAGCGGCAUGUUUAACUGACACGAGUGCUAGGUACUUCUGUAGUACCUCUUCCAGAUAGACAAUAUGUGGGCACAAGCAAAGUUUGAAUGACACUGAAAUAACAUUAUUUUCAUGAGGAAAGCAUAGAAGGGACACUUUUCUCAAACUGGUAACAGCAUAAUCUAGACCUAAGUCUCAUCACCCUUUAUAUUAAUAAAUUUACAUACUCCUUUAAUAUAAAGAACAAUUAUGAGACUAAUAUUACAGACUUGUUGCAUAUUCCUUUGUAAAACAAAAUUUCAAUAGUUUGGUUACAUGGGUUCCCAACUUCGUUCUGGUUUCAGUGCCCUUUGGUUUGAGAACGAGUUGCAUAAGACCACGAAGCAGUACAGUAGCUGGGGUCAGUUAGAACUCCCCUACACCUGAAUUUCCAAGAACAGAAGUCCUGUUACUUUUAAUAGAUAAGUAUAUACAAGUUAUUAAAUAAAAGGGGGGAAAAAAGGAAAAAAAAAAAAAAAAAAAGAAUGCUUUAUACAAUGCUGGAGCCACUCCAAAAGUUCAGGGAUCUGAUCUGGCCAAGGCAAUUUGGCCCAGCCUCUGUUUGUAUUUAUGCUGCUUUUAUGGAGCUACUGCUAACUUGUUCUACUGUAAGAUUUAUUCUGACACACUAGAUAUCAAAGUGAUGGACUAGUCAAAGACAAGUCAUGUAACUGUAGAAUUAAAAAGCUGACCCCAGUUACACUGAAGUGAAAAUAAUUGCUUCACUGGUAUCACUCAGCUCCUAGAAUACCUUAAUAAGGCCAGAAGAAUGAAUGUCAGAGAUAUUCUCUAGAAGGUGGGUUUUACACUGUAUAUAAUGCUAUUGCAGUCUUGUAAUACAUAUCUAUACAUUGCAUUAUUUAGUAGGCAGCAAUAUUUUACAGUCAUUUCAAAGGGUGAAGUUUGUUGUUGUUAGCCAGAAUAAAAGUGUUUUAUUAUACAAAUGAGAAAGUAGCUGGGCUUGGGACUGGGCAGUUGCUUCCAACAUGCCAGUUACUCAUGGUCACAGAAGAGAUAAUCUGUGAUUUUAGCAUAUGGAAGGAGUCCUACGCUAGCUGUUUAGCAGAAGCAAGUUAGAAGUACUAAUAAAAAUACUAAAUGAAGACUAAAUCCAAACAUCAACAGCUUGCCAUCUGCAGUUCUGAUGAAUCAGCAGUGAUGAACAGGUUAGAUCAGAAAGAAACAACACUAAAGAUGAAUAAAACCUUUUUCCAAAAUGGACAUUAUGAUACAUUUAUUUUAAAAUAAAUUAAUAAUCCCUGAAAUUAGAAACAAUGUUAAUGUUGUUUUAAAAUAGCUGUUCUGUUACCUGACCAGAAAGGGUAUUCUCUAUAAAUAAAACAUAGCAAUACAAAAUUUGA